CUGCGGGACCGGGCCCCUCUGGCGGCGCUUCUCAAAGCGCCGUGAUGUCGGACCGCAUCG
rfam:Sphingomonas hengshuiensis strain WHSC-8, complete genome.